AUUACUUAAAAUGACUCUAAUUAGUCAUAAAAUGACUAGAUUAACUCAUAUAAUUUUGAAAUUACUAGACUAACUCUUGAGGCAUGCAAAUUUACGAUUUUACCAUUAAUAAGAAUUAAGAAUUAACAUAUUUAAUAUUAUAAGAAAGAAAAAAAAAACAAUUUAGGUUUGUAGCGUUUCUCCACCGAUGUCGACGAAACCUCUCAUCGUUGUCUCGUCAACUCCAUCUUCGACGCUCCCUUUUCUCUCACCGGCUCUGUUUCCGUCACCUCUUAGUGACUCGACUUUGUCUCCGCCAUCCUCCACGUUAACUCACCUUCGUCUCUUUCCUGUUUGACAAACCCGAAAUCGAUUUCACCUCGGUCACAUUCGGCUUCAACUACAAGUCACUCUAAUCUGUGAAUCUUUAAUCUAUGCUAUUUGAGUUGUUGUUAUCAUAGAUUAAUUGAUUGCAUGUUGCAAUUUUGGAACCCUAAUUCCCAGUUUCAUUUAAACUUUGACUUUCAGAUGUUAAAUUUUAUGGUAUUUGAUAAUUAACAUUUACUCUCUGUUUUAUUAAAAGUUGUAUGAACUAGUGUGGUACUUGGAACCACCAAAACAAAUAAACAAAACGAGCUUAAGCUCUAUGUUAACAAGUUUGUCCUCAAUAAGGAGUUCCCCAGGAUGGCGAAAGCUGUUGCCAACCAGACAGUGGACAACUACUACAAACCUGAUUUAAAGAAGACAACACUUGCUAGGCACAGCGUGAUCAGCAAAGGCCUUAGAGUCGCCAAGUCUCAUCUCAAAAAGAGGAACAUGCAGGCUUGAAGAUUUGGCCAUUGACUGAACAUUUUACUUCUGAAAAAGCUAUGUUUUGUGAUUUCAGACAAAUUUUUAUAGGUUACAAAGAUUUUUCAUGGUUAGUUCGGUUUCUUGCUUGAAACACCUCCACUGUUAUGUUUUUUUUCUCAGAAUGAUAUUUUUUUAAAAAAGGAGUAAGCUGGUUGCUGUCCA